CCUACGGGAGGCUGCAGUGAGGAAUAUUGGUCAAUGGACGCAAGUCUGAACCAGCCAUGCCGCGUGCAGGAAGAAGGCUCUAUGAGUUGUAAACUGCUUUUGUACGAGGGUAAACGCAGGUACGCGUAUCAGUCUGAAAGUACCGUACGAAUAAGGAUCGGCUAACUCCGUGCCAGCAGCCGCGGUAAUACGGAGGAUUCAAGCGUUAUCCGGAUUUAUUGGGUUUAAAGGGUGCGUAGGCGGUCGGAUAAGUUAGAGGUGAAAGUCUGUGGCUCAACUACGGAAUUGCCGCUGAUACUGGUCGGCUAGAGAGUAUUUGAGGUAGGCGGAAUGUAUGGUGUAGCGGUGAAAUGCUUAGAGAUCAUGCAGAACCCCGAUUGCGAAGGCAGCUUACCAAGCUACUACUGACGUUGAGGCACGAAAGCGUGGGGAGCAAACAGGAUUAGAUACCCCUGUAGUC
rnacentral:rRNA from 1 species